rnacentral:rRNA from 1 species
UAGGGAAUCUUCCACAAUGGACGCAAGUCUGAUGGAGCAACGCCGCGUGAGUGAAGAAGGUCUUCGGAUCGUAAAGCUCUGUUGUUGGUGAAGAAGGAUAGAGGCAGUAACUGGUCUUUAUUUGACGGUAAUCAACCAGAAAGUCACGGCUAACUACGUGCCAGCAGCCGCGGUAAUACGUAGGUGGCAAGCGUUGUCCGGAUUUAUUGGGCGUAAAGCGAGCGCAGGCGGAAUGAUAAGUCUGAUGUGAAAGCCCACGGCUCAACCGUGGAACUGCAUCGGAAACUGUCAUUCUUGAGUGCAGAAGAGGAGAGUGGAACUCCAUGUGUAGCGGUGGAAUGCGUAGAUAUAUGGAAGAACACCAGUGGCGAAGGCGGCUCUCUGGUCUGCAACUGACGCUGAGGCUCGAAAGCAUGGGUAGCGAACAGGAUUAGAUACCCUGGUAGUCCAUGC